rnacentral:lncRNA from 1 species
UUGAGCUUAGUGUUAUCUUUAUCCAAUGCGUGGAGCUUAGAUUGUAAGUCUUCAUUCUCUUUUGUCAAGUGUGUGAUUGUUGCUCUUAGUGAAUCCAUUUCUUCCUUGGAAGCAAAGACAGGUUCUGGAUCUAGCGGAGGAACCGAAACUUCAGCACUGUAGGGUAGCUUAAUCUCCUUCACCCUUUGUACCACCCAUUGGCGAUACGGUUCUUUUGCUCAAC